rnacentral:rRNA from 1 species
AACGAACGCUGGCGGCAUGCCUAACACAUGCAAGUCGAACGAGACCUUCGGGACUAGUGGCGCACGGGUUCGUAACGCGUGGGAACCUGCCCUUAGGGUCGGAAUAACUCUCCGAAAGGGGUGCUAAUACCGGAUAAUGUCUUCGGACCAAAGAUUUAUCGCCUUUGGAUGGGCCCUCGUUGGAUUAGCUAGUUGGUAGGGUAAAAGCCUACCAAGGCGACGAUUCAUAGCUGGUCUGAGAGGAUGAUCAGCCACACUGGGACUGAGACACGGCCCAGACUCUUCCGGGAGGCAGGAGUGCGGAAUAUUGGAAAAUGGCGGAAGGGAUGAUGCAGCAAGGCCGCGUGAGUGAUGAAGGCAUUAGGGUUAUAAAGCUCUUUUAACCGGGAUGAUAAUGACAGUACCGAAAGAAUAAGCUCCGGCUAACUCCGUG